rnacentral:rRNA from 1 species
UACGUAGGGUGCAAGCGUUGUCCGGAAUUAUUGGGCGUAAAGAGCUCGUAGGCGGUUUGUCGCGUCUGCUGUGAAAACUCGGGGCUUAACUCCGGGCCUGCAGUGGGUACGGGCAGACUAGAGUGCGGUAGGGGAGACUGGAAUUCCUGGUGUAGCGGUGAAAUGCGCAGAUAUCAGGAGGAAUACCGGUGGUGUAGACGGCUCUCUGGACCGCCACUGACGCUGAGACACGAAAGCGUGGGUAGCAAACAGG